AUCUAUCAACCCAAAUAAGAUGUAAAUCUUGUUUGAUGCUUGGAUAAUGAAGGUUGCUGAGUCAACAUCAGCUCCUUUAAAAUGUAUUAGCGAGACAUUGUGUCAGCUUUGGUUUGAUAAUAAUUUUAUCCGUGCCGUUGCUGUUAAACAAUAGUCUGGCUUCAAAUUGUCUCAUUGAUGAGACUGUCCAAUUUAUGGGCAUUACUUUG
rnacentral:misc_RNA from 1 species